AUUGAACGCUGGCGGCAUGCCUUACACAUGCAAGUCGAACGGUAACAGGUCUUCGGAUGCUGACGAGUGGCGAACGGGUGAGUAAUACAUCGGAACGUGCCCGAUCGUGGGGGAUAACGAGGCGAAAGCUUUGCUAAUACCGCAUACGAUCUACGGUUGAAAGCGGGGGAUCUUCGGACCUCGCGCGGACGGAGCGGCCGAUGGCAGAUUAGGUAGUUGGUGGGAUAAAAGCUUACCAAGCCGACGAUCUGUAGCUGGUCUGAGAGGAUGAUCAGCCACACUGGGACUGAGACACGGCCCAGACUCCUACGGGAGGCAGCAGUGGGGAAUUUUGGACAAUGGGCGAAAGCCUGAUCCAGCCAUGCCGCGUGCAGGAUGAAGGCCUUUGGGUUGUAAACUGCUUUUGUACGGAACGAAAAGCCUCUUUCUAAUAAAGAGGGGUCAUGACGGUACCGUAAGAAUAAGCACCGGCUAACUACGUG
rnacentral:rRNA from 1 species